UACAGAGGUCCCGAGCGUUGUUCGGAUUCACUGGGCGUAAAGGGUGCGCAGGUGGGUUGGCAAGUUCGAUGUGAAAGCCCCGGGCUUAACCCGGGAAUGGCAUUGGAAACUGCUGAUCUGGAGGAUCGGAGGGGGGACUGGAAUUCUUGGUGUAGCAGUGAAAUGCGUAGAUAUCAAGAGGAACACCAGUGGCGAAGGCGGGUCCCUGGACGAUACCUGACACUGAGGCACGAAAGCCAAGGGAGCAAACAGG
rnacentral:rRNA from 1 species